UGAUGACAAAUCUCCGGAAUCUCUGUAUUUCUUUGAUGAAACUUUUGAACCCCUUUUCUGAUGACUGCUUUUUAAAAUUGGU
ensembl:snoRNA